GGGUUGUGAGGUUAAGCGACUAAGCGUACACGGUGGAUGCCCUGGCAGUCAGAGGCGAUGAAGGACGUGCUAAUCUGCGAUAAGCGUCGGUAAGGUGAUAUGAACCGUUAUAACCGGCGAUUUCCGAAUGGGGAAACCCAGUGUGAUUCGACACACUAUCAUUAACUGAAUCCAUAGGUUAAUGAGGCGAACCGGGGGAACUGAAACAUCUAAGUACCCCGAGGAAAAGAAAUCAACCGAGAUUCCCCCAGUAGCGGCGAGCGAACGGGGAGCAGCCCAGAGCCUGAAUCAGUGUGUGUGUUAGUGGAAGCGUCUGGAAAGGCGCGCGAUACAGGGUGACAGCCCCGUACACAAAAAUGCACAUGCUGUGAGCUCGAUGAGUAGGGCGGGACACGUGGUAUCCUGUCUGAAUAUGGGGGGACCAUCCUCCAAGGCUAAAUACUCCUGACUGACCGAUAGUGAACCAGUACCGUGAGGGAAAGGCGAAAAGAACCCCGGCGAGGGGAGUGAAAAAGAACCUGAAACCGUGUACGUACAAGCAGUGGGAGCCUCUUUUAUGGGGUGACUGCGUACCUUUUGUAUAAUGGGUCAGCGACUUAUAUUCUGUAGCAAGGUUAACCGAAUAGGGGAGCCGAAGGGAAACCGAGUCUUAACUGGGCGUUAAGUUGCAGGGUAUAGACCCGAAACCCGGUGAUCUAGCCAUGGGCAGGUUGAAGGUUGGGUAACACUAACUGGAGGACCGAACCGACUAAUGUUGAAAAAUUAGCGGAUGACUUGUGGCUGGGGGUGAAAGGCCAAUCAAACCGGGAGAUAGCUGGUUCUCCCCGAAAGCUAUUUAGGUAGC
rnacentral:rRNA from 1 species